rnacentral:rRNA from 1 species
AGAGUUUGAUCAUGGCUCAGAUUGAACGCUGGCGGCAGGCCUAACACAUGCAAGUCGAGCGGUAGCACAGAGAGCUUGCUCUCGGGUGACGAGCGGCGGACGGGUGAGUAAUGUCUGGGAAACUGCCUGAUGGAGGGGGAUAACUACUGGAAACGGUAGCUAAUACCGCAUAACGUCGCAAGACCAAAGUGGGGGACCUUCGGGCCUCAUGCCAUCAGAUGUGCCCAGAUGGGAUUAGCUAGUAGGUGGGGUAACGGCUCACCUAGGCGACGAUCCCUAGCUGGUCUGAGAGGAUGACCAGCCACACUGGAACUGAGACACGGUCCAGACUCCUACGGGAGGCAGCAGUGGGGAAUAUUGCACAAUGGGCGCAAGCCUGAUGCAGCCAUGCCGCGUGUGUGAAGAAGGCCUUCGGGUUGUAAAGCACUUUCAGCGGGGAGGAAGGCGGUAAGGUUAAUAACCUCAUCGAUUGACGUUACCCGCAGAAGAAGCACCGGCUAACUCCGUGCCAGCAGCCGCGGUAAUACGGAGGGUGCAAGCGUUAAUCGGAAUUACUGGGCGUAAAGCGCACGCAGGCGGUCUGUCAAGUCGGAUGUGAAAUCCCCGGGCUCAACCUGGGAACUGCAUUCGAAACUGGCAGGCUAGAGUCUUGUAGAGGGGGGUAGAAUUCCAGGUGUAGCGGUGAAAUGCGUAGAGAUCUGGAGGAAUACCGGUGGCGAAGGCGGCCCCCUGGACAAAGACUGACGCUCAGGUGCGAAAGCGUGGGGAGCAAACAGGAUUAGAUACCCUGGUAGUCCACGCCGUAAACGAUGUCGAUUUGGAGGUUGUGCCCUUGAGGCGUGGCUUCCGGAGCUAACGCGUUAAAUCGACCGCCUGGGGAGUACGGCCGCAAGGUUAAAACUCAAAUGAAUUGACGGGGGCCCGCACAAGCGGUGGAGCAUGUGGUUUAAUUCGAUGCAACGCGAAGAACCUUACCUGGUCUUGACAUCCACAGAACUUAGCAGAGAUGCUUUGGUGCCUUCGGGAACUGUGAGACAGGUGCUGCAUGGCUGUCGUCAGCUCGUGUUGUGAAAUGUUGGGUUAAGUCCCGCAACGAGCGCAACCCUUAUCCUUUGUUGCCAGCGGUCAGGCCGGGAACUCAAAGGAGACUGCCAGUGAUAAACUGGAGGAAGGUGGGGAUGACGUCAAGUCAUCAUGGCCCUUACGACCAGGGCUACACACGUGCUACAAUGGCAUAUACAAAGAGAAGCGACCUCGCGAGAGCAAGCGGACCUCAUAAAGUAUGUCGUAGUCCGGAUUGGAGUCUGCAACUCGACUCCAUGAAGUCGGAAUCGCUAGUAAUCGUAGAUCAGAAUGCUACGGUGAAUACGUUCCCGGGCCUUGUACACACCGCCCGUCACACCAUGGGAGUGGGUUGCAAAAGAAGUAGGUAGCUUAACCUUCGGGAGGGCGCUUACCACUUUGUGAUUCAUGACUGGGGUGAAGUCGUAACAAGGUAACCGUAGGGGAACCUGCGGUUGGAUCACCU